UAUAUAAGGGACUAAAAAAAGGAUCCCGGUCGCUUUUUAGUAUUCGAUUCGCUACGAUCACAUCUUUUUCGGUUCGGACACCCGCCUAAAUUCACUUCGUUUUUUUUCCUUGUUCAACUGAUUUUACGAACGUUUUAAAACAAAUAGAAUCACAGACGACCUGUGGAACAGGCCUACUGGGGAAACCACGUUAAAUCGUAUCUCGCUAAGUAAACUACCUCAUAGGUGGCGUGGAAACGUGCGCAAAAUAUGAGGAUUACAAAUUAUCCAACUUUUUAAAGCGUUAUAUCUCCAAAAUGGUGGCUCUUAAGAAAAAAAAAUUUCCGUAUUUUUUGUAAAGAAUCUCGUUAUCUAAACACACGUAACAACACGUAAGUAUAUAAUAAAUAAAAAUUCGAAAAUCCGAUGAAAAACUUUAAAACUUCUGGAUGAAUUCCGAAAAAUGUCUUUACACAUUUUACUAGCAUUGAAGCAUGCUAGCGUGUCAAAAAAGAGUGAGAAAGCUGUUCCUUUAUUAAACCUUUAAAUGAACCAUUUUAGUAAUACAUAAUACACAAAAUAUUAUUACUGGCUGAUUAUACAUAUUAGAAGUGUUAUAGUAUUAUUUCAAAUAUUAUUAUAAUUCUUAGUAUAUAUGUUCAUAUAUUUACCUGAUGAAGUUUGUGCACACUGUUUUGACGAAACAAAAUGUCCAUUAAUGAAUGGUUCUGAGGACACAUUAUUAUUACUGCUAAUGCCUGGCAGGGGAGGAGCUGGUCGAUUGAAUGGAUUGUAUCUUCGGGGUGGUGGUCUUGGCACAUUUGUUGCGGAAUUGGCUUCGGUAAUAAUUUCUGCAAUUAAUUUCGAAGCUUUUUUCCUUUCUCUCUACUUAUAACAAAUAUAAAAUUGUUUUCUUACAUAAGAGCCAUACAGUGAACCAAAAACAACUUGUACAUACAGAUGUUUUGACUUUGGAGGGACUUUUCUUUUAAACUAUUUCAGCUUUUAAGCUUUAACCAAUCUUAUGUAUUUUUCGUAUUUUUAUAAAUAUUUUAACAAUAAAUCAAUUUUGAUGUUAACGAUUGUCGAUAA